GACGAACGCUGGCGGCGUGCUUAACACAUGCAAGUCGAACGGAAAGGCCCUGCUUUUGUGGGGUGCUCGAGUGGCGAACGGGUGAGUAACACGUGAGUAACCUGCCCUUGACUUUGGGAUAACUUCAGGAAACUGGGGCUAAUACCGGAUAGGAUCUCCUGCUGCAUGGUGGGGGUUGGAAAGUUUCGGCGGUUGGGGAUGGACUCGCGGCUUAUCAGCUUGUUGGUGGGGUAGUGGCUUACCAAGGCUUUGACGGGUAGCCGGCCUGAGAGGGUGACCGGCCACAUUGGGACUGAGAUACGGCCCAGACUCCUACGGGAGGCAGCAGUGGGGAAUAUUGCACAAUGGGCGGAAGCCUGAUGCAGCAACGCCGCGUGCGGGAUGACGGCCUUCGGGUUGUAAACCGCUUGCGCCUGUGACGAAGCGUGAGUGACGGUAAUGGGUAAAGAAGCACCGGCUAACUACGUG
rnacentral:rRNA from 1 species